UCGACGAUGAAUCUUCUAGCUUGCUAGAAGUGGAUUAGUGGCGCACGGGUGAGUAAUGCAUAGGUUAUGUGCCCUUUAGUCUGGGAUAGCCACUGGAAACGGUGAUUAAUACUGGAUACUCCCUACGGGGGAAAGUUUUUCGCUAAAGGAUCAGCCUAUGUCCUAUCAGCUUGUUGGUGAGGUAAUGGCUCACCAAGGCUAUGACGGGUAUCCGGCCUGAGAGGGUGAUCGGACACACUGGAACUGAGACACGGUCCAGACUCCUACGGGAGGCAGCAGUAGGGAAUAUUGCUCAAUGGGGGAAACCCUGAAGCAGCAACGCCGCGUGGAGGAUGAAGGUUUUAGGAUUGUAAACUCCUUUUGUUAGAGAAGAUUAUGACGGUAUCUAACGAAUAAGCACCGGCUAACUCCGUGCCAGCAGCCGCGGUAAUACGGAGGGUGCAAGCGUUACUCGGAAUCACUGGGCGUAAAGAGUGCGUAGGCGGGGUAAUAAGUCAGAUGUGAAAUCCUGUAGCUUAACUACAGAACUGCAUUUGAAACUGUUACUCUGGAGUGUGGGAGAGGUAGGUGGAAUUCUUGGUGUAGGGGUAAAAUCCGUAGAGAUCAAGAGGAAUACUCAUUGCGAAGGCGACCUGCUGGAACAUUACUGACGCUGAUGCACGAAAGCGUGGGGAGCAAACAGGAUUAGAUACCCUGGUAGUCCACGCCCUAAACGAUGGAUGCUAGUUGUUGCCUUGCUUGUCAGGGCAGUAAUGCAGCUAACGCAUUAAGCAUCCCGCCUGGGGAGUACGGUCGCAAGAUUAAAACUCAAAGGAAUAGACGGGGACCCGCACAAGCGGUGGAGCAUGUGGUUUAAUUCGAAGAUACGCGAAGAACCUUACCUAGGC
rnacentral:rRNA from 1 species